GUGCUUGCUUCUGUAGCACAUAUCCUAAAAUGGAAUGAUACAAAGAAGAUUAGCAUGGCCCUGGGCAAAGAUGACAUAAAAAUUCAUGAAGUAUUCUAUAUUUAA